UACGUAGGGCGCAAGCGUUGUCCGGAUUUAUUGGGCGUAAAGAGCUCGUAGGCGGUCUGUCGCGUCGGCUGUGAAACCCCGAGGCUCAACCUCGGGCCUGCAGUCGAUACGGGCAGACUAGAGUGUGGUAGGGGAGACUGGAAUUCCUGGUGUAGCGGUGAAAUGCGCAGAUAUCAGGAGGAACACCGGUGGCGAAGGCGAUCAGCCUGGGGUUGUUCUGACGCUGAGGAGCGAAAGCUAGGGGAGCAAACGGG
rnacentral:rRNA from 1 species